AGCGGAGAGCAUGCUGGUAGGAGCGGGAGGCGCUGUCAAACCAGCCAGCUGAAUUCUGACAGAUUGUCAGAAAUGUAUGCAACAAAGAACCAAAUCUGAGAGGUAAUGUGGUCCAGUCUGUCCUGGUGGUCCAUUUAAACCUUGUUCGCCCUUUAAAACGGCAACAUGGGGAUGAAUGUGAGCAAGGUGAG